UACAGAGGGGGCGAGCGUUAUUCGGAAUUAUUGGGCGUAAAGGGCGCGUAGGCGGCUUUGCAAGUGACGGGGUGAAAUCCCUCGGCUUAACCGAGGAACUGCCUGUCAGACUGUAAGGCUUGAGGCCGGGAGAGGUGAGUGGAAUUCCCAGUGUAGCGGUGAAAUGCGUAGAUAUUGGGAGGAACACCAGUGGCGAAGGCGGCUCACUGGACCGGUACUGACGCUGAGGCGCGAAAGCGUGGGGAGCAAACAGG
rnacentral:rRNA from 1 species